ensembl:lncRNA
GGGACUGGAUGGUGUUGAGAGGUAGAUGGGAGGGGUUGAGUGGAGCUGAAGGGUGGGACUGGAUGGUGUUGAGAGGUAGAUGGGAGGGUUUGAGUGGAGCUGAAGGGUGGGACUGGAUGGUGUUGAGAGGUAGAUGGGAGGGGUUGAGUGGAGCUGAAGAAUGGGACUGGAUGGUGUUGAGAGGUAGAUGGGAGGGGUUGAGUGGAGCUGAAGGGUGGGACUGGAUGGUGUUGAGAGGUAGAUGGGAGGGGUUGAGUGGAGCUGAAGGGUGGGACUGGAUGGUGUUGAGAGGUAGAUGGGAG